rnacentral:rRNA from 1 species
GAUGAACGCUGGCGGUCUGCUUAACACAUGCAAGUCGAACGCAACCUUCGGGUUGAGUGGCGGACGGGUGAGUAACGCGUGAGAAUCUGCCUUGGGGUCGGGAACAACCACUGGAAACGGUGGCUAAUACCGGAUAAGCCUUUGGGUAAAAGAUUUAUUGCCCCAAGAGGAGCUCGCGUCUGAUUAGCUAGUUGGUGAGGUAAGAGCUCACCAAGGCAGCGAUCAGUAGCUGGUCUGAGAGGACGAUCAGCCACACUGGGACUGAGACACGGACCAGACUCCUACGGGAGGCAGCAGUGGGGAAUUUUCCGCAAUGGGCGAAAGCCUGACGGAGCAAGACCGCGUGAGGGAGGAAGGCUCUUGGGUAGUACAACUCCUUUCUCAGGGAAGAAGCUCUGACG